GAUGAACGCUAGCUACAGGCUUAACACAUGCAAGUCGAGGGGUAACGAGAGGGAAGCUUGCUUUCCUUGUCGACGACCGGCGCACGGGUGAGUAACGCGUAUCCAACCUGCCCCCAACUAGGGAAUAACCUUGCGAAAGUAAGACUAAUACCCUAUAAUUUCCUCAGAUGUCAUCUGACGAGGAAUAAAGAUUUAUCGGUUGUGGAUGGGGAUGCGUCUGAGUAGCUUGUUGGCGGGGUAACGGCCCACCAAGGCAACGAUCAGUAGGGGUUUUGAGAGGAAGGUCCCCCACAUUGGAACUGAGACACGGUCCAAACUCCUACGGGAGGCAGCAGUGAAGAAUAUUGGUCAAUGGGCGGAAGCCUGAACCAGCCAAGUAGCGUGCAGGAUGACGGCCCUAUGGGUUGUAAACUGCUUUUAUACAGGAAUAAAGUUAGCCACGUGUGGUUAUUUGUAGGUACUGUAUGAAUAAGGACCGGCUAAUUCCGUGCCAGCAGCCGCCGUAA
rnacentral:rRNA from 1 species